rnacentral:rRNA from 1 species
CUUUGAAUGGGUUCAUGUGCAGCUCCAUCAGCAAAAGGGGAUGAUAAGUUUAUCACCACCGACUAUUUGCAACAGUGCCGGUUAAUGAGGCGAACCGGGGGAACUGAAACAUCUAAGUACCCCGAGGAAAAGAAAUCAACCGAGAUUCCCCCAGUAGCGGCGAGCGAACGGGGAGGAGCCCAGAGCCUGAAUCAGUGUGUGUGUUAGUGGAAGCGUCUGGAAAGGCGCGCGAUACAGGGUGACAGCCCCGUACACAAAAAUGCACAUAUUGUGAGCUCGAUGAGUAGGGCGGGACACGUGGUAUCCUGUCUGAAUAUGGGGGGACCAUCCUCCAAGGCUAAAUACUCCUGACUGACCGAUAGUGAACCAGUACCGUGAGGGAAAGGCGAAAAGAACCCCGGCGAGGGGAGUGAAAAAGAACCUGAAACCGUGUACGUACAAGCAGUGGGAGCCUCUUAAUGGGGUGACUGCGUACCUUUUGUAUAAUGGGUCAGCGACUUAUAUUCUGUAGCAAGGUUAACCGAAUAGGGGAGCCGAAGGGAAACCGAGUCUUAACUGGGCGUUAAGUUGCAGGGUAUAGACCCGAAACCCGGUGAUCUAGCCAUGGGCAGGUUGAAGGUUGGGUAACACUAACUGGAGGACCGAACCGACUAAUGUUGAAAAAUUAGCGGAUGACUUGUGGCUGGGGGUGAAAGGCCAAUCAAACCGGGAGAUAGCUGGUUCUCCCCGAAAGCUAUUUAGGUAGCGCCUCGUGAAUUCAUCUCCGGGGGUAGAGCACUGUUUCGGCAAGGGGGUCAUCCCGACUUACCAACCCGAUGCAAACUGCGAAUACCGGAGAAUGUUAUCACGGGAGACACACGGCGGGUGCUAACGUCCGUCGUGAAGAGGGAAACAACCCAGACCGCCAGCUAAGGUCCCAAAGUCAUGGUUAAGUGGGAAACGAUGUGGGAAGGCCCAGACAGCCAGGAUGUUGGCUUAGAAGCAGCCAUCAUUUAAAGAAAGCGUAAUAGCUCACUGGUCGAGUCGGCCUGCGCGGAAGAUGUAACGGGGCUAAACCAUGCACCGAAGCUGCGGCAGCGACACUAUGUGUUGUUGGGUAGGGGAGCGUUCUGUAAGCCUGUGAAGGUGGCCUGUGAGGGUUGCUGGAGGUAUCAGAAGUGCGAAUGCUGACAUAAGUAACGAUAAAGCGGGUGAAAAGCCCGCUCGCCGGAAGACCAAGGGUUCCUGUCCAACGUUAAUCGGGGCAGGGUGAGUCGACCCCUAAGGCGAGGCCGAAAGGCGUAGUCGAUGGGAAACAGGUUAAUAUUCCUGUACUUGGUGUUACUGCGAAGGGGGGACGGAGAAGGCUAUGUUGGCCGGGCGACGGUUGUCCCGGUUUAAGCGUGUAGGCUGGUUUUCCAGGCAAAUCCGGAAAAUCAAGGCUGAGGCGUGAUGACGAGGCACUACGGUGCUGAAGCGACAAAUGCCCUGCUUCCAGGAAAAGCCUCUAAGCAUCAGGUAACAUCAAAUCGUACCCCAAACCGACACAGGUGGUCAGGUAGAGAAUACCAAGGCGCUUGAGAGAACUCGGGUGAAGGAACUAGGCAAAAUGGUGCCGUAACUUCGGGAGAAGGCACGCUGAUAUGUAGGUGAAGCGACUUGCUCGUGGAGCUGAAAUCAGUCGAAGAUACCAGCUGGCUGCAACUGUUUAUUAAAAACACAGCACUGUGCAAACACGAAAGUGGACGUAUACGGUGUGACGCCUGCCCGGUGCCGGAAGGUUAAUUGAUGGGGUUAGCGGUAACGCGAAGCUCUUGAUCGAAGCCCCGGUAAACGGCGGCCGUAACUAUAACGGUCCUAAGGUAGCGAAAUUCCUUGUCGGGUAAGUUCCGACCUGCACGAAUGGCGUAAUGAUGGCCAGGCUGUCUCCACCCGAGACUCAGUGAAAUUGAACUCGCUGUGAAGAUGCAGUGUACCCGCGGCAAGACGGAAAGACCCCGUGAACCUUUACUAUAGCUUGACACUGAACAUUGAGCCUUGAUGUGUAGGAUAGGUGGGAGGCUUUGAAGUGUGGACGCCAGUCUGCAUGGAGCCGACCUUGAAAUACCACCCUUUAAUGUUUGAUGUUCUAACGUGGGCCCCUUACCGGGGUUGCGGACAGUGUCUGGUGGGUAGUUUGACUGGGGCGGUCUCCUCCUAAAGAGUAACGGAGGAGCACGAAGGUUGGCUAAUCCUGGUCGGACAUCAGGAGGUUAGUGCAAUGGCAUAAGCCAGCUUGACUGCGAGCGUGACGGCGCGAGCAGGUGCGAAAGCAGGUCAUAGUGAUCCGGUGGUUCUGAAUGGAAGGGCCAUCGCUCAACGGAUAAAAGGUACUCCGGGGAUAACAGGCUGAUACCGCCCAAGAGUUCAUAUCGACGGCGGUGUUUGGCACCUCGAUGUCGGCUCAUCACAUCCUGGGGCUGAAGUAGGUCCCAAGGGUAUGGCUGUUCGCCAUUUAAAGUGGUACGCGAGCUGGGUUUAGAACGUCGUGAGACAGUUCGGUCCCUAUCUGCCGUGGGCGCUGGAGAACUGAGGGGGGCUGCUCCUAGUACGAGAGGACCGGAGUGGACGCAUCACUGGUGUUCGGGUUGUCAUGCCAAUGGCACUGCCCGGUAGCUAAAUGCGGAAGAGAUAAGUGCUGAAAGCAUCUAAGCACGAAACUUGCCCCGAGAUGAGUUCUCCCUGACUCCUUGAGAGUCCUGAAGGAACGUUGAAGACGACGACGUUGAUAGGCCGGGUGUGUAAGCGCAGCGAUGCGUUGAGCUAACCGGUACUAAUGAACCGUGAGGCUUAACCUU